rnacentral:rRNA from 1 species
AGAGUUUGAUCCUGGCUCAGAACGAACGUUAGCGGCACGCCUAACACAUGCAAGUCGCACGAGAAAGGGCUUCGGCCCCGGUACAGUGGCGCACGGGUGAGUAACACGUGGGUAAUCUACCUUCGGAUGGGGGAUAACACUUCGAAAGGGGUGCUAAUACCGCAUAAGCUCACGACCUCUUCGGGGGUUGGGAGAAAAGCAGGCCUCUUCAUGAAAGCUUGUGUCUGAAGAUGAGCCCGCGGCCCAUCAGUUAGUUGGCAGGGUAAUGGCCUACCAAGACGAAGACGGGUAGCUGGUCUGAGAGGAUGAUCAGCCACACUGGAACUGAGACACGGUCCAGACUCCUACGGGAGGCAGCAGUGGGGAAUCUUGCGCAAUGGGCGAAAGCCUGACGCAGCGAUGCCGCGUGAGUGAUGAAGGCCUUCGGGUUGUAAAGCUCUGUGGGGAGAGAAGAAUAAGUCGUCGUGAAUAACGCCGAUGAUGACGGUAUCUCCUUAGCAAGCACCGGCUAACUCUGUGCCAGCAGCCGCGGUAAGACAGAGGGUGCAAACGUUGUUCGGAAUUACUGGGCGUAAAGCGAGUGUAGGCGGUGAGAUAAGUCGGACGUGAAAGCCCGGGGCUCAACCUCGGAAGUGCGCUCGAUACUGUCUCGCUUGAGUGUCGGAGAGGUUGGUGGAAUUCUGGGUGUAGAGGUGAAAUUCGUAGAUAUCCAGAGGAACACCGGUGGCGAAGGCGGCCAACUGGACGACUACUGACGCUGAGACUCGAAAGUGUGGGGAGCAAACAGGAUUAGAUACCCUGGUAGUCCACACCGUAAACGAUGAUUACUAGGUGUUGGAGGAUUGACCCCUUCAGUGCCGCAGUU